rnacentral:rRNA from 1 species
AUGCCAGCAGCACUGCCGCCGACGCUCCCUGAGGAGCUUGUCGAAGAGAUCCUCCUCCGCAUCCCGCCCGAAGAGCCUGCCGGCCUCCUUCGCGCCUCCCUCGUCUGCAAGUCCUGGAGCCAGGCCGUCUCCCAUCGCGGAUUCCGGCGCCGCCUCCACGAUUUCCACCGGGCGCCCCCCGUGCUCGGGUUUCUCCAUGAUUGGGACGACGAGGACAUCCCCGACUUCAUCUCCGCCACUGUGUCGCCCUUCUCCCUUGCCGUCCCAGACAGCUGGCUCUGGCAGGCCGUCGACUGCCGCCACGGCCGCGCACUCUUCCUCUCUGAUGACCCUUAUGCUGAGGAACUCCUGGUGUGGGAGCCAAUCACGGGUUCCCAGCAGCGUGUGCCAGUGCCCGUGAUGUCUGAUAUCGGCCGCACAACCGCCGCAGUGUUCUGUGCAGCAGACGGGUGCGACCACUGCAACUGCCAUGGGGGCCCUUUCUGCGUUGUCUUCGUCUUCUCCGUUGACAGCGAAGAUCCUGACGACGGGGAAUAUGACACGGCGGCAUGUGUAUACUCGUCAGAGACCGGUGCUUGGGGCGAGCUGACCUUGAUGCAUGGGGAGUUCUACAUGCACUUCACAUAUUAUUCCAGUGUGCUUGUUGGGGAGUCUUUGCUCUACUUCAUGACUGAUGGUGGGUUGAUCCUGGAGUAUGACAUGGCAAUGCAUGGGCUGACUUGGUUCAAAGCACCAUACUCUUGCUACUCUAAGGGUAUACCCAGUUGCAUUCUCAUGCCGGCGGAGGACGGUGGACUGGGACUCGUUGAAGAAUUGGAUCCGCAUCUGAAAUUGUGGUCAAGGGAGAUGACUAAUGCCUGA